CAGCCGCCGCGGGAAUACGUAGGGUGCAAGCGUUAAUCGGAAUUACUGGGCGUAAAGGGUGCGUAGGCGGUUAGUUAAGUCUGUCGUGAAAUCCCCGGGCUCAACCUGGGAAUUGCAGUGGAUACUGGGUCACUAGAGUGUGGUAGAGGAUAGUGGAAUUUCCGGUGUAGCAGUGAAAUGCGUAGAGAUCGGAAGGAACAUCUGUGGCGAAGGCGAUUAUCUGGGCCAACACUGACACUGAGGCACGAAAGCGUGGGGAGCAAACAGGAUUAGAUACCCGCGUAGUCCCUGUCUCUUAUAC
rnacentral:rRNA from 1 species